ACGAACGCUGGCGGCGUGCUUAACACAUGCAAGGCGAACGGAAAGGCCCUGCUUUUGUGGGGUGCUCGAGUGGCGAACGGGGGAGUAACACGUGAGUAACCGGCCCUUGACUUUGGGAUAACUUCAGGAAACGGGGGCUAAUACCGGAAAGGAGCUCCUGCUGCAUGGUGGGGGUUGGAAAGUUUCGGCGGUUGGGGAUGGACUCGCGGCUUAUCAGCUUGUUGGUGGGGUAGUGGCUUACCAAGGCUUUGACGGGUAGCCGGCCUGAGAGGGUGACCGGCCACAUUGGGACUGAGAUACGGCCCAGACUCCUACGGGAGGCAGCAGUGGGGAAUAUUGCACAAUGGGCGGAAGCCUGAUGCAGCAACGCCGCGUGCGGGAUGACGGCCUUCGGGUUGUAAACCGCUUUCGCCUGUGACGAAGCGUGAGUGACGGUAAUGGGUAAAGAAGCACCGGCUAACUACGUG
rnacentral:rRNA from 1 species